rnacentral:rRNA from 1 species
GUGUCAGCAGCCGCGGUAAUACGUAGGGUGCAAGCGUUGUCCGGAUUUACUGGGUUUAAAGGGUGCGUAGGCGGCGCGCUAAGUCUGAGAUGAAAUGGCAGGGCUCAACCCUGUCGCUGUCUUGGAUACUGGCGUGCUGGAGAAGGGAUGAGGUUGCUGGAAUGAGUGGUGUAGCGGUGAAAUGCGUAGAGAUCACUCAGAACACCGAUUGCGAAGGCAGGCAACUGGGCCCUAUCUGACGCUGAGGCACGAAAGCGUGGGGAUCAAACAGGAUUAGAUACCCCCGUAGUCC